AAUCUUCCGCAAUGGACGAAAGUCUGACGGAGCAACGCCGCGUGAGCGAUGAAGGCUUUCGGGUCGUAAAACUCUGUCCUAAGGGAAGAAACGGACGGUACCUUAGGAGGAAGCCCCGGCUAACUACGUGCCAGCAGCCGCGGUAAUACGUAGGGGGCGAGCGUUAUCCGGAAUUACUGGGCGUAAAGGGUGCGUAGGCGGCCGAUUAAGUCAGAUGUGAAAUACCACGGCUCAACCGUGGGGGUGCAUAUGAAACUGGUUGGCUUGAGUGCAGGAGAGGAAAGUGGAAUUCCUAGUGUAGCGGUGAAAUGCGUAGAGAUUAGAAGGAACACCAGUGGCGAAGGCGACUUUCUGGACUGUAACUGACGCUGAGGCACGAAAGCGUGGGGAGCAAACAGG
rnacentral:rRNA from 1 species